AACGAACGCUGGCGGCAGGCCUAACACAUGCAAGUCGAGCGAGGACUUCGGUCCUAGCGGCGGACGGGUGAGUAACGCGUGGGAACGUGCCCUUUGCUUCGGAAUAGCCCUGGGAAACUGGGAGUAAUACCGGAUGAGCCCUUUGGGGGAAAGAUUUAUCGGCGAAGGAUCGGCCCGCGUUGGAUUAGGUAGUUGGUGGGGUAAUGGCCUACCAAGCCGACGAUCCAUAGCUGGUUUGAGAGGAUGAGCAGCCACACUGGGACUGAGACACGGCCCAGACUCCUACGGGAGGCAGGAGUGGGGGAUCUUAGACAAUGGGGGAAACCCUGAUCGAGCCAUGCCGCGUGAGCGAUGAAGGCCUUAGGGUUGUAAAGCUCUUUCAGCUGGGAAGAUAAUGACGGUACCAGCAGAAGAAGCCCCGGCUAACUCCGUG
rnacentral:rRNA from 1 species